rnacentral:rRNA from 1 species
UACGUAGGGGGCAAGCGUUGUCCGGAAUCAUUGGGCGUAAAGAGCGUGUAGGCGGCCUGAUAAGUCGGCUGUGAAAGUCAAGGGCUCAACCCUUGAAUGCCGGCCGAUACUGUCAGGCUAGAGUCCGGAAGAGGCGAGUGGAAUUCCUGGUGUAGCGGUGAAAUGCGCAGAUAUCAGGAGGAACACCGAUGGCGAAGGCAGCUCGCUGGGACGGUACUGACGCUGAGACGCGAAAGCUGGGGGAGCGAACAGG